CAGUCGCCGCGGUAAUACGAAGGGGGCUAGCGUUGCUCGGAAUGACUGGGCGUAAAGGGCGCGUAGGUGGUUAUGUAAGUGAGAUGUGAAAUCCCCGGGCUCAACCUGGGAACUGCAUCUUAUACUGCGUAGCUGGAGUGCAGUAGAGGGUAGUGGAAUUUCCGGUGUAGCGGUGAAAUGCGUAGAUAUCGGAAGGAACACCAGUGGCGAAGGCGGCUACCUGGACUGACACUGACACUGAGGCGCGAAAGCGUGGGGAGCAAACAGGAUUAGAUACCCCCGUAGUCCCUGUCUCUUAUAC
rnacentral:rRNA from 1 species